rnacentral:rRNA from 1 species
GACGAACGCUGGCGGCGUGCUUAACACAUGCAAGUCGAACGGAAAGGCCUGCUUUCCCUUGUGGAUUGCGGGUACUCGAGUGGCGAACGGGUGAGUAACACGUGAGUGAUCUGCCCCCAACUUGGGUAUAAGCCUGGGAAACUGGGUCUAAUUCCCGAUAGGACUGCAGGGUGGUGCCUGUGGUGGAAAACGAUUUUCUAGUGGUUGGGGAUGAGCUCGCGGCCUAUCAGCUUGUUGGUGGGGUAAUGGCCUACCAAGGCGGCGACGGGUAGCCGGCCUGAGAGGGUGGACGGCCACAUUGGGACUGGGAUACGGCCCAGACUCCUACGGGAGGCAGCAGUGGGGAAUAUUGCACAGUGGGCGGAAGCCUGAUGCAGCGACGCCGCGUGGGGGAUGACGGCCUUCGGGUUGUAAACUCCUUUCGACCGCGAGGAAGCCACCUGGUUGGAAGGGUGGUGACGGUAGUGGUAGAAGAAGCACCGGCUAACUACGUG